GCGAGGCGGCAGGAACAGGGGAGGGGGCCUCCCCGGCAGGGCGGGCGGCGGGACCUGGCUCGGUCAGCCCUCUCCCUGCGGGUGGGGUCCAGAGGUAGGGUGACCCACCCUGCCCGGAGCUCCCCCGUGCGGCCUGGGAUCGCAGCGGGCGGCUAGGGCUGCGCUCCUGCGGCGCCUCUUACCUGUGCCUUCCCUGUCUCUGUCGUCCGCCAUCUUGUUGCGGCGCCGUCGCCGGGGAGAGCGCUGUCGCUAAGCUAUGUCGCGGCGUCCUGGACCCCUGCAGCCCUGCGGCUAGUCGGCCCUGGAGGAUAGGCGGCUCCGAAUCCCGAAGGAAGAAGACCCUGGGUGUGGGUGGGGGAGGGAAAGCUUGGAGCGCGCGCCCUCCCCCUUCCCGCCAUGACCCUCUGGCGCCCGGGAGACCGGAAGCCCGGACCCGCCGCCCGCGACCACUGAGCCGCGUCGGGGGCUUCAGCCUAUCCCUUUAGUACCGAGGCCUGAGCCCUGGUUUUUCUGGCGUGGAGGAAGUAUUUAAUAAUAAAGUUCCGAACCCCUCCUUUCCCUUGUUUAUGAUCCGUUUGGGGACACAAUGCUCUCCCCCUCCCCUCCAGUUUGUAGGAUGUGGCGUUGCUCGAUUUUUUUUUUACUGCAUAUUUUAAAACGCAAUUGGAGAGAUGGGUGCAGAACCCGAUUCUGGGGUGACAGAACCAGCCAGCAAUCCCACCUCCUCUUCUUCCCGUCCACACCCCGCGGAGAGGCCGGACCUGCCCCACCUCUGGCCCCCCGUUUUCUCCCGUCCAGUGCUCGCCGCUCGCUCCCAGAGACGGGGACUGCACGGCGGGCGAGAGCUGGAGCUGGGACGGAAAACUGGGCCGGCGCGGAAGGAAACCAGAGCCAUUAAACUGUUAUUACUGGAGGAGCGGAAUCGCUGUAGAAAAAACAUGUGUAAAAUCGGCGCAAACACUGCGUCGUCAAGGCUGCGAUUUCUGAUACAAAAUAGAAGGUUCUCAUAGCAACAGAAACGUGCCCAUCUUACGCUCACUGUUACGUACAUGAAAUUUCUUGUGAAAUUUGACAAGACCUCCAGUUAAAAUUACUGGGAAGGAAAGUUUUAAAUCUCGCUUUUCUAGAACUUCGAAGCCGUGGCAUGAUGUUAAGUUUUCGUCUUAUUUUAAGGAAAAGUUCACUAUACUAGAAUAUUUUCUUUUAAAAAUGAUGUUUGAGUAAUAUGCCUAAUGGUAUGGUUCAAACAAAUAUAUAUUUUCAAACGAGUUUUAGAUGCUAUUUAAAUGCAUGUGUGUACUAAUUUAAAUUACUUGAUUUUAUGUAAAAAUCGAUUAUAAACUGUAAAUAUUAAGCCUUCAAAAUAAAAGGUAUUUAAUGGUU